GCUGGGCAUGGUGGCGCAUGCCUGUAAUCCCAGCUACUCAGGAGGCUGAGGCGGGAGAAUUGCCUGAACCCAGGAGGUGGAGGUUGCGGUGAGCCGAGAUCACGCCAUUGCACUCCAGCCUGGGUAACAAGAGCGAAACUCCGUCUCAU
rnacentral:sRNA from 1 species